GGGAAACCACCAAAGAGGAAUUCAAACAAAUAGCCAGCACGUGUAGACACAAAGUCAGAAAAGCUAAAGCACAGAAUGAACUCAGGCUUGCUAGAGAGGUUAAAAGCAACAAAAAAGGCUUUUAUGGGUAUGUUUGUAGCAAAAAGGAAGAACAAAGAAGCAGUGGGGUCACUCAGAGGAGAAGAUGGUGAAAUGCAAACAGGGGACACAGAAAGAGCUGAACUCCUCAAUGCCUUCUUUGCCUCAGUCUUCUCCGAUAAAGAAAACAAUGCCCGACCUGAAGAAUUUGGAGCAAAUGAUUCAGCAGAGGAAACACAGCCCAGAAUAACUAAGGAGAUAGUACAAGAAUACUUGGCUAGUUUAGAUGUAUUCAAGUCUCCAGGGCCAGAUGAACUGCAUCCAAGAGUAUUAAAAGAACUGGCAGAUGUGAUCUCAGAACCACUGGCAGUCAUCUUUGAGAAUUCCUGGAGAACAGGCGAAGUCCCGGCAGACUGGAGGAGGGCAAAUGUUGUCCCUAUUUUCAAAAAGGGGAAAAGAGAGGACCCAAAUAAUUACCGCCCAGUCAGUCUGACAUCAAUACCAGGGAAGAUUCUGGAGCAGAUCAUUAAGCAAACAGUCUGUGAGCACCUAGAAAGGAAUGCUGUGAUCACCAAUAGUCAGCAUGGAUUUCUGAAAAAGAAGUCAUGUCAGACUAACCUGAUCUCGUUUUUGACAGAAUUACAAGCCUGGUAGAUGAAGGGAACGCAGUGGAUGUAGCCUACCUUGAUUUCAGCAAGGCAUUUGACAAGGUGCCCCAUGAUAUUCUUGUAAAGAAGCUGGUAAAAUGCGGUCUUGACUAUGCUACCACUCAGUGGAUUUGUAACUGGCUGACUGACCGAACCCAAAGGGUGCUCAUCAAUGGUUCCUCUUCAUCCUGGAGAAGAGUGACUAGUGGGGUGCCACAGGGUUCUGUCUUGGGCCCAGUCUUAUUCAACAUCUUUAUCAACGACUUGGAUGAUGGACUCAAGGGUAUCCUAAUCAAAUUUGCAGAUGACACCAAAUUGGGAGGGGUGGCUAACACCCCAGAGGACAGGAUCACACUUCAAAACGACCUUGACAGAUUAGAGAACUGGGCCAAAACAAACAAGAUGAAUUUUAACAGGGAGAAAUGUAAAGUAUUGCACUUGGGCAAAAAAAAUGAGAGGCACAAAUACAAGAUGGUUGACACCUGGCUUGAGAGCAGUACAUGUGAAAAGGAUCUAGGAGUCUUGGUUGACCACAAACUUGACAUGAGCCAACAGUGUGACGCGGCAGCUAAAAAGCCAAUGCAAUUCUGGGCUGCAUCAAUAGGAGUAUAGCAUCUAGAUCAAGGGAAGUAAUAGUGCCACUGUAUUCUGCUCUGGUCAGACCUCACCUGGAGUACUGUGUCCAGUUCUGGGCACCACAGUUCAAGAAGGACACUGACAAACUGGAAGGUGUCCAGAGGAGGGCAACCAAAAUGGUCAAAGGCCUGGAAACGAUGCCUUAUGAGGAACGGCUAAUGGAGCUGGGCAUGUUUAGCCUGGAGAAGAGGAGGUUAAGGGGUGAUAUGAUAGCCAUGUUCAGAUAUAUAAAAGGAUGUCACAUAGAGGAGGGAGAAAGGUUGUUUUCUGCUGCUCCAAAGAAGCGGACACGGAGCAAUGGAUCCAAACUACAAGAAAGAAGAUUCCACCUAAACAUUAGGAAGAACUUCCUGACAGUAAGAGCUGUUCGACAGUGGAAUUUGCUGCCAAGGAGUGUGGUGGAGUCUCCUUCUUUGGAGGUCUUUAAGCAGAGGCUUGACAACCAUAUGUCAGGAGUGCUCUGAUGGUGUUUCCUGCUUGGCAGGGGGUUGGACUCGAUGGCCCUUGUGGUCUCUUCCAACUCUAUGAUUCUAUGACUG